AUACGUAGGGAACAAGCGUUGUCCGGAUUUACUGGGCGUAAAGGGUGCGUAGGUGGUUUCUUAAGUCAGAUGUGAAAGGUACCGGCUCAACCGGUGACAUGCAUUUGAAACUGAAAGACUUGAGUAUUGGAGAGGCAAGUGGAAUUCCUAGUGUAGCGGUGAAAUGCGUAGAUAUUAGGAGGAACACCGGUGGCGAAGGCGGCUUGCUGGACAAAUACUGACGCUGAGGUGCGAAAGCGUGGGGAGC
rnacentral:rRNA from 1 species